rnacentral:tRNA from 1 species
GCUCGGGUGACGCAGCGGUAGCGUGCGAGACUGCAAAUCUUGAAGUCACUGGUUCGAAUCCGGUCUCGAGCU